rnacentral:lncRNA from 1 species
GAUUAGAACAUCAACAUCCCCUGUUUCUCCGCAUUGUAACCAUGUCACCUUCUUCCCAGAUUUCUUCGCAACCGCAUCUAUCCCCUGCUCCCAGCUCAUUCUAUGCUUCGGUCAUUCAAGAUCAUCCCUUCAUUACCGUUUAGCAUCCAUCAUCAAAGCCCCAGCUCAUCUCCUCUGUUCACGCUCCCAGCCAGCAAUCUUCUUCCGGAUUCCCUGCAUCUCAAAAUGGAGUCCCUCCACGGGAUGAACCCAAAUCCCAUCUUCCGGCUUGAUCCCAAGGAGUCAUCUAAUGCAUCCUCCCCUGCUUUGAAACAAGAGUAUCAUCUUUGUCUUCUUCCGAACCAAUCUAUGUUCCGGAUUGAUCUUCAUCCAGUUUCCUCUUGCGAUACAUGCCAUUCGGAUCCACGAACAAAGCCCGAGUCUCCAGCAUAUC